ACAGUCGAUCGGGUAGUUCCGGAUCUCGGGUAAUUCCGAAUCAACUCUAUGAUUUAAUUAAAAUAUUAGUCUAAAAGAUAUUGCCAUAUCAAUAUAACUGUGAUUUUUGGAAAAUGUGAUCAAUUUCAAGCAAUAACACAGUUUUGCUUCUUAUUUCAACGGUGUUUUCAUUGAAAAUCACACUUUGGUAACUAUCACAGUCGUGUCAUUUUACCGUCGCACUGUCUAUCAAUAACACGCGUCAACAAUUAAAAGACGAUUUAGAAGCACAUUUCCUUGGUAAAUGCUUGUACAUUUGAUAAUUGUCAAGUUGGACGGAUGGGUCCUAAAAAGCACGGGUGCUCUGCACAGUCAUUGGCAAAGAGGCUGAAGCGGAUACUUUUAUAUAUUUUUACAUUAUUGUGAUCCUAUUAUUGUUAAAUGUUGCCAUAAUAUGUUAUUUACCAAACAUUUAACUUGAUAUCUAGUAUUGUCUUCCAUUUCUUUACCAUUAUUAUCCCAGAGGUACUGGUUUAUGUUGUUGUUGCUUUUUAUACUUUUAUUACAUUAUUUUACAUUAUUGUGAUCAUAUUAUUGUUACAUGUUAUCAUACUAUGUUAUUUACCAAAAAAGUAACUUGAUAUCUAGUAUUGUUUUCCAUUUCUUUAGCAAAUUUAUUCUAGAGGCACUGGUUUAUGUUAUACUUUUUAUGGAUGCUUUUAUAUAUUUUUACAUUAUUGUGAUCCUAUUAUUAGCAAAUGCAUUCCAGAGGUACUUGUUUAUGUUCAGUUGUCAUUUUUAUGCCCCCGGAUCGAAUGAUCGGGGCAUAUUGUGUUUGGCCAGUCUGUCAUUCUGUCCCAAAACUUUAACCUUAGUUAAAGUUUUUUGAUAACUUUUGCAAUAUUUAAGACAGAAACUUGAUAUUUGGCAUGUAUGUGUAUCUCAUGGAGCUGCACAUUUUGAGUGGUGAAAGGUCAAGGUCAUCGUUCAAGGUCAAAGAAGCUAAUCCAAGGAAGUAAUAAGCUUUAAAGGGCGAUAAUUAUCUGUACCUGCCAAAUGAACAAAAAACAAAGCGGCGCAAUAGGGGGCAUUGUGUUCCUGACAAACACAUCUCUUGUUAUAAAUACAUUUAUAUAAAGUUCUGUAUUUUUUAGGACCUUAGUUAUAAACAUAUUUUCUAGUCAUACAUAAAAUGUUCUAGUCAUAAGCAUAUAUGUCAUAUUUUCAUACAGUUUGUACAUUAUUGUGAUUCUAUUGUUGUUAAAUGUUAUUAUAUUAUGUUAUUUCCCAAGAAGGUAUCUUGAGUUUAUCAAUAAAUUGCUUGUAUUGAG